AACGCACAUUGCGCCCUUUGGCAUUCCUUAGGGCAUGCCUGUUCGAGCGUCAUCUAACCCCUCAAGCUCUGCUUGAUGUUGGGCGUCUGUCCCGCCUUAGGCGUGGACUCGCCUCAAAAUCAUUGGCGGCCUAUGUAUUGGCUUCGAGCGCAGCAGAUUUCGCGCCUCGUUCCCUCUUGUACAGGCGACCAUAAAGCUUCUUCAACUAUUUUGACCUCGGAUCAGGUAGGGAUACCCGCUGAACUUAA
rnacentral:misc_RNA from 1 species